rnacentral:lncRNA from 1 species
AAAACUGUGUUCUUCCCUUUCUAGCUUUACUCAAUGGUUUACCAAAUUGGCCUUUCUCUCACCCUGACAGAUAUGGCUUCCAUCUUCACCUCUCUCAAAAAUGAUACCACGCUGGAAUCCCAGCACAAUCCUGGAGAUGUCUUGUUUGAAGUAACUAGUGAAAUUGAACACAAGGGAUGGAUCCCACAUAGUGCAGAUGAGCUGAAAAAGGCUCUCAUGGAAUCCAUUAAGUUUCAUGUACAAAAGAACCUGAAACUCUUGGUAAGCAAAGUCAAUGAAAUCAAGUUAAAGGAAAUCAAAAGGACAAAUGACCUAAAACCAACAUUCACUUUCUGGUUACACUUAAAACCAGAGGAAAGGAAUCUGUCUGUCUUACUCCAUUCUCAACUGAAUGAUCUCAUUGGCAAAUCUGUGGGAGCUGAGAAGUUGCAGAUGGCUUUAUUGUCAGUUAGAGAUGUGAAUGAAUGCAACUCUGGAAUUGGAAUGUGUGGUGAUGAGGCUGACUGCCUCAACGAAGAUGGCACUUACUUAUGUCGCUGUAAAAAAGAGUACGAAGAUCGCUCUCCGACAAAAUCUGGCACGCUGUGUGUCCGCAUUCCACAAUCAGGUAGAGGAGACAGAAUUAUACUGAUCUCCUUUCUUUUGAGUAGUGCUGCAUCUUAAAUUUACAACUUCCUGCUCUU